AUACUGACCUGGCAGGGGAGAUACCAUGAUCACGGAGGUGGUUUUGCACUCCGGAUGUGCUGAGCCCUGCGAUUUCCCCAAAUGUGGGAAACGUGACUGCAUAAUUUGUGGUAGUGGCAGCCUGCGUUUGCGCUCUCCCC
rnacentral:snRNA from 1 species